rnacentral:rRNA from 1 species
UACGAAGGGUGCGAGCGUUGUUCGGAAUUACUGGGCGUAAAGGGUUUGUAGGCUGAAAUGUAAGUCAAGUGUGAAAUCCCCCGAGCUAAACUUGGGACGUGCAUUUUGAAAACUGUGUUUCUUGAGUAUCGUAGAGGGUGGUGGAAUUUGUAGGUGUAGGAGUGACAUCCGUAGAGAUCUGCAGGAACAUCAGAGGCGAAAGGCGACCACCUGGCCGAUGACUGACGCUGAGGAACGAAAGCGUGGGGAGCAAACAGG